rnacentral:rRNA from 1 species
UUCCGUGCCAGCCCCCGCGGUAAUACGGGAGUGUCACGCGUUAUCCGGAAUUAGUGGGCGUAAAGCGUCCGCAGGCGGUUUUGUAAGUCUGCUGUCAAAGCGUGGAGCUCAACUCCAUUUCGGCAGUGGAAACUACGAGGCUUGAGUGUGGUAGGGGCAGAGGGAAUUCCCGGUGUAGCGGUGAAAUGCGUAGAUAUCGGGAAGAACACCGGUGGCGAAGGCGCUCUGCUGGGCCAUAACUGACGCUCAUGGACAAAAGCCAGGGGAGCGAAAGGGAUUAUAUACCCCUGUAGUCCUGGCCGUAAACGAUGAACACUAGGUGUCGGGGGAAUCGACCCCCUCGGUGUCGUAGCCAACGCGUUAAGUGUUCCGCCUGGGGAGUACGCACGCAAGUGUGAAACUC